UGUUCUGGUAACGUCAACAUCUGUCAAAUACCGUUACAUAAUAAAUGGGCCGUGGUAUUACCCUAAGCAUGUUUACACUCGGACCUGCUCGUACAUACAUGUUUUGAUUCUGAGUGGACGCCAUAUUGGAUAUAACGCAGUAGCGAGGUUACAACUUUGGAAGACGCUUACACCUUAGGAAAACACUGCAGGUAAACAAUAAACUCUAGCCAUGGAGCUAUCGAACGAUGUUUCGCCCGAGUCCUUGGACAAAAUCCAGAAAAUCGCUAGAGCCGAAAUGUAUGGCAGGACUCAACUAUUGAAAUUAGACAACAAACUUAGAGAAAUCGACCAUCGAAUCCGGAAGCACAAAGACAAUAAAACGUACAAAUACACGCUCAAACAGAGGCGCAAAGUGACAUUAGGUGUCAGGAAUAUGUUCGCAAAGUACGUCCAGAGGAAGAGCAUUCAGGCCACGAAACUUGUCAUACAAAGCUUCGCAGAGGCCAUGAUGUCGCGUCAUAGAAUGCGACCAGAGACGUCUCGUGAUAGAACAUCAGCGACAUCUAGUGGUAGGAUGUCAGCGACAAAUAGUGGUGAAAUAUCAGCGACAUCUAGUGAUGGAACGGGGACCACGUAAAGGAAUGACAAAGAUUCUUCAUUGAGCAAAAUAAAGCAUUCUUGAAUUGAAACAUAAUAUUUU